UACAGAGUGGGCAAGCGUUAUUCGGAAUUACUGGGCGUAAAGCGCACGUAGGCGGCUUUGUAAGUUAGAGGUGAAAGCCCAGGGCUCAACCCUGGAAUUGCCUUUAAGACUGCAUCGCUUGAACAUCGGAGAGGUAAGUGGAAUUCCGAGUGUAGAGGUGAAAUUCGUAGAUAUUCGGAAGAACACCAGUGGCGAAGGCGACUUACUGGACGAUUGUUGACGCUGAGGUGCGAAAGCGUGGGGAGCAAACAGG
rnacentral:rRNA from 1 species